rnacentral:rRNA from 1 species
GCUUAAGCGUUGUUCGGAUUUAUCGGGCGUAAAGCGCGUGUAGGCGGUCUUUUAAGUCUGAUGUGAAAGCCCCGGGCUCAACCCGGGAAGUGCAUUGGAAACUGGGAGACUUGAGUACGGGAGAGGGUAGUGGAAUUCCUAGUGUAGGAGUGAAAUCCGUAGAUAUUAGGAGGAACACCGGUGGCGAAGGCGGCUACCUGGACCGAUAUUGACGCUGAGACGCGAAAGCGUGGGGAGCAAACAGGAUUAGAUACCCUGGUAGUCCACGCCGUAAACGAUGAGUACUAGGUG